AGGUAUUGAAACUAGUGGCUAAUCAUAGAGGGUCACAUUUUUUUGUGUGGGAAACAUGUUUCAUGCUGCUUUGAAAAAACAUAUUUAUUAAGAGGGAGUGUCUCAAUCAUUUUACAUGUUGAUGUUACAGCAAAGCAGCUGGCACUGGGUGCAUGAUACAUUUUUCUAUUUUGGCGACACCAAUAUCUGAAUUGUGGCUGUUUUUUUGUCUUAUAAAGUGUAUGGUUUGUUCACGCACACCCGAGGUUUCUGAGGGUGAACGCUGUAUGUGUUCACCAGCAGAUGCUCAGGGUGCAUCGACUUGAUCACGAGGUAGCUGCACUUGCUUUGAGGAGGUUUCAUCAGAUUGAUGUGGGCGCACAAUCUGUCAAUAAGUACAUGUGGCGGGAAGUGCUCGAACCUGAUUUCUCGUUUUUCGUUCCUGUCAUUCUUGAGCAUGGAUGGGUUGCAUACAUGUGGGAUAUGCUCAAGGAGAUUCAUAUACUGGACCCAUUAUGUGUUCAAGUUGCAGGAGCAGAGCAGAGGCAUAUUGUCCACCAAGAGGCUGUGUUGCAGUUACACACAACAUUAUUCAGUUGCCUCAAUAUUUUUUUCCGAAAUGGCAUUGUCCAUCCGAGAAAUGGAAGUGCAGGUUCCCUAAGAUAACAUGUGACAUCUUCUCAAGGGAUGAGUCAGGAUAUACGAACUACAUACGCAGUGUCGAACACAUAUACCUCUUGGUCCAGCCGGGCACCUGAGGAUCGUCUUUGCCAGUU